AUUAAGCCGCUGCAGCUGUGGGCUGUGAUGGUUGAUGCUCUUUAAGAAUCGUUGCUGCUGGGGUGACUGGAAUUGCUACUGCCAGUUCUAACGUUGCUACCGAUGCUGUUGACUUGUCCCAAUUCAAGUUAAGUGUCACUGCCCUAGAGUUGUUUCUGCGUUUGAUUCCAUCAAAUUCGAUGUUGCUGCGAGUGUAAUCGGAGUUGGUGAUGCUGCCAUCAUUCCGGUUGUGUUGGAA